rnacentral:rRNA from 1 species
AUGCCUUCCUCGCUGCCACCCUCAGCUGAUUCACCUGACCACAGGACUGCUCCGUCUGAGAUGGAGCCGCCUCAGGUGGACCCAUCUCGGACCCCGGUCCACGAGCCUCGGGCCGACGAGCCUUCACCCCACGAGACUCCGGUCCCUGAGGCUCCGCCCCACGAGACUCUAGACCAGGCUAUGUCGCAGCCGAACCGAUUGGGGGACUGGCCGGAGUCGAGUGGCCAUGCUAAUGGUGACGAGGGUGGCUAUAGUUCUGAUAGCUAUAGUGAGAGUGAGCUGGUUGAGGGGGGCAAUGUCUACCAGCAUGGUGGUACAAAGCUCCUGCCCACCCCGGCGACCCCUAACCAGAGGUGGUUGAUUACGCCUGAUGGGGAGAAGUUUUGGAAACACGGUCGUGGUCUCCGCAGACCCAACACAGUCCUUGGUGUGAUUUGUCGCCAGAGCUUCCCGGGGUGGGUCACGUUGCCCGGUGAAGGCCAGGUUCCAGAGCUAGGAAUGACCUGGAAGCACUACUUGGCUGCCCCGGCCCUGCCGGGGGAGAGGAUCGGCAGUGUCGAGUGCCACAUGGUGGCCGACGUUGUGAUCCAGACGUUUUGGACCUUUUACAGGUGUGCUGAGGGACAGAAGGAGGCCGCGACUCAGGUUAACGAAGCCAAGUGUAGGCGGCUACUUCAAAACUGGCGGAACGGGGCUCGGACGCAGGCUACUCGAGACUACUUUGCCUCGAUUGGUAUUAGGAUGUCCAAGGCGAGGUGCCGCACGAAGUAUCUGAGUAAGGAGAACUACGUGAAGGUGCCCCCCAGAUAUUGUGCGGAUAGGUUGGAUUGUUGGGAGGCGUUGGUGGAUGAGUAG